CGAGGGGCCAGGCACUUUGCUGUUACUGAAGAUCUGGUCCUAAACAACACAGACAAAUUCUUCUCAUAGAACUUGAAUGUUGAUGACUGGAAGAAGAGCCCCAGUGGUGUGGGUUCUUCUGUGACUGGCCUCUACCUCCCCACCCCAUCCGUGGGUAGGCUUUGCAGCAAGAACAGAAACAAUAGAUGCCUGAAGGAGUGGGAAGUUGGAAUCAGUGAUCAAACUGCUGCUCCACAGAGGGAGCCUCUCCUGAAACUGCACCAUGGACUUGGGCUAAAAAUGAGCCUAAAGGCCCUGACAUCAAUGCACGGAAUUGGGAGCAAGGAACUGUCUUUAUUCCAGAACUGAGCUGAUACCUCCUGAAGGUGAAUCAACAGCUAUCUAAGGAGGAAGAGAUCAUUUCUGCUGUCCCACAUUCGACCUCCAUCCUGGACUGAAAUUGGUAUUGAACAUCUACUGCAUAUGGUGAAGCUGAGAUUCACAAAGGGCAGAUGGCUGACCUGAAAACCCUCAGCUGGUUAGUGAUGGAAUCGACAUCCAAAGCAGACUGGCCUGAUCCCUGAGUGCUGUGGGGCCAUCUGCAAAGAGUGCUGUGCAGCCUGCUGUGAGCCCAUCAUGGAAUAACUACCAUCUAGAUGUGGGGAAGAGCUGUUAGAAUUGGGGAAGGGGGUAGGGCUCUUUCAUGAAAACCACACUGACUGGACUCUUGGGCCAAGGUCUUUUUCUCCUUGAUCAAGUGUCUGGCAUCUGUCCAGUAGCAAUGACCUCCAUGCCAUGGUAUUUAAUAUGUGAAGAAGGAGCUCUACCAGCUGGGAGAGAGAGUUGAAAUACGUAAAUUCAGUUGGACGCCAACACUGGAGGACCUGUUUUAUACACUUAAGGAGCUUCUUACUUCGUUUCUGCUUUUUCUGGAAACUGUCUCUCCACUCUGCGGACUCUCAUGACAACCAUAUUAUAUGAUGUCAUUUGGGCCCACACUGGGUCAGACAUGGUUCCCCUGGGAAUCUGGAACUGGGACUUAGAUAUUCCAGCCUCAGAGGGAACUGUGGGUGGCCUAGAAUGCUAAGCUGCAGUGACAAAGUGUAAUGAGGAUGCAUUUGAAAGCAUGGAGGGGAAAAACCAGGGAAGCAGUCAUAAAGACAUUCUAGUUUUGGUCUAUUUCUGAGGCUCCUCUGUGUCUUUGAGUAGUUUAGUGAGAUCAUCUAUUAAAAAUUAAAUAUAAUAUGGCAAAUUUUCAUUUUUGUUUAAAUUAAUUAUGUGGAAUUCUGUCAUUGGCAAAUAAAGGGGUCUUAAUUCUGGAGCGUCUAAAGUCCAAACCCAGGUUAGGCAACAGCUGCAAAACUCUAGAAGAGGGGAUGUGAUAGUGAACAUGGCCAUGGUAAACAAGAAGCCAAAGGAAAUGACAGCAUCCAGGGUCUCCAUCAAGUCCUGAAAACUGAGGAUUGAGGGCACUGGUGUUUACAGUCCAGUAAUAGAAUUGCCCAUGGGUGAGGAGAAGAAAUCUCCUGCUCUGCUUCCCCCGCUCCCAACCUGGAGUAGAAUGGAAAAGGGGGUGAGGAUGGGCAGGAGGCCCAGAGGAGCAGAGGAGCAGUAGCUGAUGCUUCUGGAGAGCCAGACCGAAGUUGGAACCAUGGGGACAUGGUGGCCACUGGGAGGGGGCAAGGUGCCUAUGGCAGCCAUGCCCAGUGGGGUGUUUGGAGGAAGGGAUUUGGAGGGAUUUGGGAUUUCUGUGAAAUGCGGAAGGGCCUGUGGUGUCUGCUAUGUUGUUACCACUGUUGUGAUGCCACCUGAAGCAGCAAAGUUUACACAAACUGAGGAUAGUAGAGAAUGAAUCCGGCUCAGAUGGAGGAUAACCAACAAAGUCACCUUACUUGACUCAAAUUUGGCAGAGAUGGUUUUCAAAUGUAAAGCAUUAUCAUUCUACUUGCAGCUUCUCUCUAUCUGAGUCAGACAUGAGACCAGGGGGGAAUAACUGCCCACACUGGACAUUUCUAAACGUUCCUCCAGCCUCUUUCCAGGUGGACUCACCUCUGAAAACUCUGAUUCCACCCCUGUGGCUGCAUGAUUCCCUUUUGCAGCAGAAAUUCUAACUCCACAAUUGAAAUAAAGAAAAAUCCAGGAGCUGAAUCAGGUGGAAUUGUUGCAAGAUCUCACGUUGUUUUACUACACUACCUUUCUUCCAUUAAAAAAAAAAAAAGAAAAGAAAAGAAAAAAAGAUAUGUAUUAUCUUUGAAGGAGAAGC